CCCUUAGACGUUCUGGGCCGCACGCGCGCUACACUGACACAGGCAACGAGCUUUCCUUUACCGAAAGGUAUGGGUAAUCUUUUGAAACUGUGUCGUGCUGGGGAUAGAUCCUUGCAAUUUUUGAUCUUAAACGAGGAAUUCCUAGUAAGCGCGAGUCAUCAACUCGCGUUGAUUACGUCCCUGCCCUUUGUACACACCGCACGUCGCUACUACCGAUUGAAUGGCUUAGUGAGGCCUCAGGAUCCGCGCUUAAUGUGUGGAGAAUUUGGACAAACUACGUCAUUUAGAGGAAGUAAAAGUCGUAACA
rnacentral:rRNA from 1 species